rnacentral:lncRNA from 1 species
CUUGAUUGUAUUAUUGUGAAAGGUCCUAAAACAACAGCAUUACGUAUAGCUCACAGAAAAGAUAUACAGAUUGUUAAAAGGAAAGCAUGAAAUGCAAAUGUUUAGCAGUGUUCCCGUUAUUCUUUAUUCUGGUUAAAUUAAAGCUGAAGGAUUUCCUUAAAAACCCAACUCCCUGACAGCCUUCAGGUGUACAGGCUUGAUUAGUGCCUCUAACUCUUCCUUCCUGUAGCUAUUCUGCUGCCAGGAAGUUUAGACCCCUACAUUGAGCUGCUGUGGGGACCAGCACAGGUUCUGGGACAUCUUCUCUACAAACAUUGAAAGUUGGUGGACCCCCAGUCUACAGAAUCAUCUUUUGAUAUUUUUCCCUAAAUGGCUGACCUCACAGCUGGUAUCAGGCCAGCUGGAGCUCCAUGCAGAGGGGCUGCUUUGCCCGGGCAGGUUGGCCCAUGGUCUCUUUAGGAAGUACUCGAGGAUUUCAGCAUCGUCUCCCAUGACUGAGCCUGUGCAGGAGCAGGCUUUUUCUGUCCAUGCUCUGCCUUCUGUUGCAUGGAGGAAAACUGUUGGUUCCUUUAUCUUGCAUAUUAAAGGUGGAUUUUGUACCUCUUUCUCUCAGUGAAACAUCCCUGUGGCUAAUUGCAGUGACACUGAUAUUCGAAGGUUUCUAGAGCAGUUCAAUUUAAACAUUGUGACUUUGUGAGCCUGGCAUCGAGUGCUGGAAGGAGCACAUUUAUUGAAGACUUAAAACUAGUGGAGAUGUUGCUAUAUACGCUGUGAGAGAGCUGUUAUGCUUCUUCUCUUUGACUGUAUUAUUUCACUCAUUAGAAUAAACUAUCAGCAAAUCUCCUGUUGUAUGUUCUU